rnacentral:tRNA from 2 species
GAACCCGAAGCUUUGAUAGCGAAGCAGCCGUCUUUUAAGCGGCUGAGGAGGGUGCAAAUCCCUACGGGUUCA